rnacentral:rRNA from 1 species
CACGUAGGGCGCAAGCGUUGUCCGGAAUUAUUGGGCGUAAAGAGCUCGUAGGCGGUCUGUUGCGUCUGCUGUGAAAACCCGGGGCUUAACCCCUGGCUUGCAGUGGAUACGGACAGACUAGAGGUAGGUAGGGGAGAAUGGAAUUCCCGGUGUAGCGGUGAAAUGCGCAGAUAUCGGGAGGAACACCGGUGGCGAAGGCGGCAUCCUGGACCGACAUUGACGCUGAGGAGCGAAAGCCAGGGGAGCAAACGGG